AAAGGGUCUCUAUUGUAUAAUAACUUCUUAUUGACUUCUCGAUUGCUCCGUAUUUAAAUUCUGUUUCAUUUUGUAGGUUACUACAUUUGGAGCUCUCACUUCUCGACCGAUCCUCGACUUAUUUGUCGAGCAUUUCCUUCCUGAUAUGAUGUUUCGGACAGCAAUUUUGACGGCUCUUUGUUUAGCAAGCAUCUUUGCUGAAGAGAAACAGAUAACCCUUGUUGUGUUCACUGAUCUAAACUCAGGCCGCAACAACGAAGCUUAUAAUAAUAAAACUACUCUGACGACAUCUAAGGUUGAUGACGACCUGGAAGGAAUGAUGUAUGAGGCAGGUAUAUGGUUCGACUAUUCUGGAUCGGAGUUACUCGAACUUGAGAUGGAAGAUGGAACCAGAAUAAAGGCAGACUCUGAGCAGAAUGAGUACUGGGAGAUACUUCUACUAACCGGGGAGAAGAGGGAGCCGUUGGAACUCGGGCUAGAUUACGUGCCGGUUAACGGUGAUAAAGUGCUCAUCAGAUUGGAAAAUGGGGAAGGUGGAGACGUUUAUGCAAGUGGCGCUGUGGUCGCUGAUCCAAGGGUUUGGUUCCUCACAUUUUCUGUGAUGGGUUCCUUAAUGGGUUCCUUAACACGCUGGAUAAACUAAAAAUGAUGCUCACGAAAUCUCUGGUGUAUCUGGACGAGAUAGUGUUUAUAAAACAAACAAACAUUUGUAAUUUAAAUUAGGAGGAACCUAUUUUGAUAUGGACGAUGGACGA